UUAAGAAAAUUAAUCUUUUUUAUCCUACCUAGAUAAUACAACAACUUCUGAGCAGCUUUUUUCUUAAAAUAGCACACAUUACGGACUGAGUCGCGUUAACAUUUAGACUGUGAGUACAUUUUUACUUGUUUCAAGACAAUAAGACAAUCCAUAUUAACCUGUUUUAAGAACUGACCCCAUCAUUAAGAUAUUCCAGCUAAUCAACUGUGAUUAGGUAAGAAUGUACCGGUCAGCCUGUAUCUUUGUGUUUUAAGAAAAAAACAUUAUAAUAAUCCCCUUUUUUGUAAUAUAAUACCAAGGUUCUUGAGGAGCUGAGACGAAUAGUGGCGAAGGACAACUUGCAUAAUGUGAAAGAGCUGAAGGAACGCGGGGCAAACUACAGAACCAAACUCUCCUUUUAUGGUGUCUAUAAGAAGGUCCUGAAGCCAAGGUGGGACUUCCUAGUGAUGAGCAAGCCAUUGACCUGAUCAUCUCCCUGCCAGAUAUGUUUCCUUCUGGUUACCCCGCACCAAAGAAGAUGUCAUCUCCAUCAGAGCCGCUCAUUCAUGUUCUGCAGCCCACAGAGGCCCCAGACGUCUAUCUGAGAAGACGGCCACUAGCCACACCAUUCAACCUGGUAAGAGGAGGACUGCUUCCUCUGUGCCGGAAAUGCCCCUGUUGUGUCCUUUGGUAGGAGCAGUCCUGCUGAGUCGGUCCUGUACGUCAUGGCGUACUACUACACAUUUCACAUGACAUAUCCAAAAUGUGUGUCAUCGGUUCUGUUAUUCCUUCAGACUGAGGUCUUGGGUGAUGCGAUUCAUGAGAAAGACCAAACAGCAGCUUUUAAACGUGCCAAACCUGACUGGCAGACCUUUCUUAGGUAGUGUGUAUGAGAGAUGAAUGCUCAAGUUCAUUGUUUGAAUAGUUAAGGGCAACAGGUGUGUGUGUUCAGGCCCUGUCUCGAUGCUGCAACAUCAUCUCUUCAUUGUUAG